rnacentral:rRNA from 1 species
AGUUUGAUCAUGGCUCAGGAUGAACGCUAGCGGCAGGCUUAAUACAUGCAAGUCGGACGGAACCAGGUCCUUCGGGAUGCUGGCGAGUGGCGAACGGGCGCGUAACGCGUAUGCAACUUACCUUCAACUGGGGGAUAGUCUAUGGAAACAUAGUUUAAUACCCCAUAGUACCUACCUUUGGCAUCUUAGGUAGUUUAAAGACUUCGGUCGGUUGUUGAUAGGCAUGCGUUUGAUUAGCUAGUUGGUACGGUAAUAGCGUACCAAGGCUACGAUCAAUAGGGGCUCUGAGAGGAGUAUCCCCCACACUGGCACUGAGAUACGGGCCAGACUCCUACGGGAGGCAGCAGUAGGGAAUAUUGGGCAAUGGACGCAAGUCUGACCCAGCCAUGCCGCGUGCAGGAAGACGAUUUUCGGAUUGUAAACUGCUUUUAUAUGAGACUAAUUUCUUGUACGGGUACAAGUUUUGAAUGUAUCAUUUGAAUAAGCACCGGCUAACUCCGUGCCAGCAGCCGCGGUAAUACGGAGGGUGCAAGCGUUGUCCGGAUUUAUUGGGUUUAAAGGGUACGUAGGUGGUUAUGGUAAGUCAGUAGUGAAAUCUUCUAGCUUAACUAGGAGAGGGCUAUUGAUACUACCUUACUAGAGUACUUUAGGGGCAAGUGGAAUUGGUGGUGUAGGGGUGAAAUCCGUAGAUACCACCAGGAUUCUCAGAGGCGAAGGCGGCUUGCUAUGAAUGUACUGACACUGAAGUACGAAAGCGUGGGUAGCGAACAGGGAUUAGAUACCCCUGGUAGUCCACGCCGUAAACGAUGAUAACUGGAUGUUUGGAGUUUUUCUCUGAGUAUCUGAGCGAAAGUGUUAAGUUAUCCACCUGGGGAGUACGCACGCAAGUGUGAAACUCAAAGGAAUUGACGGGGGUCCGCACAAGCGGUGGAGCAUGUGGUUUAAUUCGAUAGUACGCGAGGAACCUCACCCGGACUAGAAUAGCAGGGGACGCUUUUAGAAAUAGAGGUUCCUUCGGGCUCCUGCUAAGGUGCUGCAUGGCUGUCGUCAGCUCGUGCCGUGAGGUGUUGGGUUAAGUCCCGCAACGAGCGCAACCCCCAUCCUUAGUUGCCAGCGAUUAAAGUCGGGGACUCUAAGGAGACUGCCAGCGCAAGCUGAGAGGAAGGUGGGGAUGAGGUCAAGUCAUCAUGGUCCUUACGUCCGGGGCUACACACGUGCUACAAUGGUUAUUACAAAGGGAAGCUAUGUUGUGAAACAUCGCCAAUCUCAAAAAGAUAAUCUCAGUUCGGAUUGUAGUCUGCAACUCGACUACAUGAAGUUGGAAUCGCUAGUAAUCGCGCAUCAGCCAUGGCGCGGUGAAUACGUUCUCGGACCUUGUACACACCGCCCGUCAAGCCAUGGGAGUUGGGUGUGCUUAAAGAUGAUGACUGUAACAGGAAUUGUUUAGAGCAAAACCAGCGACUGGGGCUAAGUCGU